rnacentral:rRNA from 1 species
GAUGAACGCUGGCGGCGUGCCUAAUACAUGCAAGUCGAGCGAACGGACGAGAAGCUUGCUUCUCUGAUGUUAGCGGCGGACGGGUGAGUAACACGUGGAUAACCUACCUAUAAGACUGGGAUAACUUCGGGAAACCGGAGCUAAUACCGGAUGAUAUUUUGAACCGCAUGGUUCAAAAGUGAAAGACGGUCUUGCUGGCACUUAUAGAUGGAUCCGCGCUGCAUUAGCUAGUUGGUAAGGUAACGGCUUACCAAGGCAACGAUGCAUAGCCGACCUGAGAGGGUGAUCGGCCACACUGGAACUGAGACACGGUCCAGACUCCUACGGGAGGCAGCAGUAGGGAAUCUUCCGCAAUGGGCGAAAGCCUGACGGAGCAACGCCGCGUGAGUGAUGAAGGUCUUCGGAUCGUAAAACUCUGUUAUUAGGGAAGAACAUAUGUGUAAGUAACUGUGCACAUCUUGACGGUACCUAAUCAGAAAGCCACGGCUAACUACGUG